AGCUGAAAGACAUAGGGCCAGAAAAAGCGCAUUCCUAACGGGAUCCCGGGCCAUAACUUCAUUUUCUGGUAUUAGUGUUGUUGGAGAAACACAGGAGGAGGGUAGGUGAGCAUACAAGGAACAGUCAAGCAGUUUGCACCAUUAAGCACAAUAUAAAAAUAAAUAGCACUUAUGCCCGGGCUUACAACUUCUCUCUCUCUCUCAAGAAAGAAAGGGAUUGGGGGGCGAAGAGAAUAGCACUCAAUGCAGAAUAAUCAAAUUAGAGUUAUUCUAUGUCUAAAUUCUGCCUGAAGCCAAUUCGUGCUUUCUUUCCGUGUUAUGAAAUGUGUGGGGGUGAAGAAGAAGAGGGAAAAAGCCAGCUAAGACAUCUGACAGCGGGUUGGUGAGGAGGGGGGAGAGAGAACAGAAGUUACCAUGGCAUGAUGUAAAUCAAAUUAAUUUAGCUCCAAACACACACCUCCCUGCUGUCUCGCAGAAAUACAGAGGGACAAAUUUAUCUUUCGGCAAAAUGCUCCCCAGCUGGUAUUUCCAUCACCACCUUGACCUUAAUUAAUCAGACUGAACUCUCACAGCCUGAAGUCCAGUGGUGGAUGUUCCAUUUUCAAUUGUUAGUAGAAUCCUUUCCCACAACCCAUUUGGGGUGGGUUUGGGUUUUAGGUUUGAGUUUGGGUUUAGAUUUUUUUAAGCUGUAGUCACUUUUCUUUUUUUCCUUGCUUUACUCUUGCAUUUUCCAUGCUUCCAUGGGAGACUGCGCCUGUAGACCUAUCCUCUUCCCCCGUAACAGCCUACAGCAUGGACAAGAGAGAACAAAUAUGGGGCCCUACCCCCCUGCCCUUUUGAAUGUUGGGUAUUUUCCGUAGGAAGCCCUCGUCUCUAAAAUCCUCUUCUCUUCCUGGCUUAAGAAAGACCCAAUUUAUUCCCUGCUAGUGAACAAAGCACUUGGGCUGUUUCUCUACAUGUAACAAAAUAUCUCCACCCAGUCUAGUCCACCCCCUGGCCACACCAGAUCCUCAGGCUCCUGAACGUUCCAUUAGGAUUGACUUUUGCUUUUUUCUUAGAUGAGUCCAGGGGAUAUUGCAGAUGGGUUCUAUUUUAACAAAUUUAAACAAGUACGAGUUUUUCCUUACACAAACUGAGAGCCAGCCUCACAUCCUGUGACUAUUUACUUGAACUGUGUUUGAACCAGGACCCUGCCGUUCAAGCACUAUGAGACUUUCAACGAAGUACUGGACCUCUCUGAGUUUCCGUUUUCCCAUGAAUAAACAGAUCUAUAUAUAUGGCAGGAUUAUAAAUGUUGCAUAAAAUAUUAUAUGUUUCAUGCCCAAAUAAUACUGGCUCACAGAAGGGUCUCAAUAGUAAUUAUUUUGUUAUUUACCAUGGAAGAAAAUCCUGGAUGUUGUCAUGAAAAACAAAAGGUCUCUAAUAAAAUGUUUUCAUUAUGGAAAAAAAUUCAAAUUACAUGGAAUAUUUAAAUAGCCUUUUAUCUUUUGCAGUUGUGUUUAUGUCUAUGUGUUUAUUACUAAUAAAAAAGA
rnacentral:lncRNA from 10 species